rnacentral:rRNA from 1 species
GACGAACGCUGGCGGCGUGCCUAAUACAUGCAAGUAGAACGCUGAAGGAGGAGCUUGCUUCUCCGGAUGAGUUGCGAACGGGUGGGUAACGCGUAGGUAACCUGCCUGGUAGCGGGGGAUAACUAUUGGAAACGAUAGCUAAUACAGCAUAAGAGUAGAUGUUGCAUGACAUUUACUUAAAAGGUGCAAUUGCAUCAUUACCAGAUGGUCCUGCGUUGUAUUAGCUAGUUGGUGAAGUAAUGGCUCACCAAGGCGACGAUACAUAGCCGGCCUGAGAGGGGGGUCGGCCACACUGGGACUGAGACACCGCCCAGACUCCUACGGGAGGCAGCAGUAGGGGAUCUUCGGCAAUGGACGGAAGGCUUACCGAGCAACGCCGCGUGGGUGAAGAAGGUUUUCGGAUCGUAAAGCUCUGUUGUAAGAGAAGAACGAGUGUGGGAGUGGAAAGUUCACACUGUGACGGUAUCUUACCAGAAAGGGACGGCUAACUACGUG